CAGCACCCGGCAAGCCUCGGGACCCUUCCACCGACAGCUGACGGAGCGUACCGGCAGCGGGAAAGGCGCAGGCCAUGGCUGGCGCGUAGCCCCUCCCCCAGCGGAGCCAGCCCCGGACACGCUGAGCCAGAACCGGAAGGGAGCGAUGAUUGGCUGCCAGGCGAGAGGCGCGCUGUGAUUGGUCGGUUCCUGGAGAGCGUCGCGGCAUCGGCCGAUGCAUCGCGCCGUGGAGCCCCUGGGGGGCCGGGCCGGACGCGACCCCUUCGCCGUGGGGAGCCUGGGCUGCGGCGGGGGCUG